CCCCAGACUCCUACGGGAGGCAGCAGUGGGGGAUAUUGGACAAUGGGGGGAACCCUGAUCCAGCGAUGCCGCGUGAGGGAAGAAGGUUUUCGGAUUGUAAACCUCUGUGGACAGGGACGAUAAUGACGGUACCUGUCAAGAAAGCCACGGCUAACUACGUGCCAGCAGCCGCGGUAAUACGUAGGGAGCAAGCGUUGUCCGGAAUUACUGGGUGUAAAGGGAGCGUAGGCGGGAGGAUAAGUUGAAUGUGAAAUCUAUGGGCUCAACCCAUAGCUGCGUUCAAAACUGUUCUUCUUGAGUGAAGUAGAGGCAGGCGGAAUUCCUAGUGUAGCGGUGAAAUGCGUAGAUAUUAGGAGGAACACCAGUGGCGAAGGCGGCCUGCUGGGCUUUUACUGACGCUGAGGCUCGAAAGCGUGGGUAGCAAACAGGAUUAGAUACCCGCGUAGUG
rnacentral:rRNA from 1 species